AUUGAACGCUGGCGGCAGGCCUAACACAUGCAAGUCGAACGAGUGGCGGACGGGUGAGUAAUGUCUGGGAAACUGCCUGAUGGAGGGGGAUAACUACUGGAAACGGUAGCUAAUACCGCAUACCAUCGGAUGUGCCCUGAUGGGAUUAGCUAGUAGGUGGGGUAAAGGCUCACCUAGGCGAGGAUCCCUAGCUGGUCUGAGAGGAUGACCAGCCACACGAGAACGGAGACACGGUCCCGACGCCUACGGUAGGCAGCAGUGGGGAAUAUUGCACAAUGGGCGCAAGCCUGAUGCAGCCAUGCCGCGUGUAUGAAGAAGGACUUCGGGUUGUAAAGUACUUUCAGCGGGGAGGCGUUACCCGCAGAAGAAGCACCGGCGAACACCGUGCCAGCAGCCGCGGUAAUUC
rnacentral:rRNA from 1 species